UUUUUAUUUUUUUAAAUGUAUUAUUAUAUUUCUAUUUUUAUGUAUUUUUUUAACAUUUUUUUUGUUAAUUUUUUUUUUUCUAUAAAUAUUUUUUAACUAGGAAAGUCAGUUAAGAACACAUUCUUAUUUUCAAUGAUGGCCUAGGAACGGUGGGUUAACUGCCUUGUUCAGGGGCAGAACGACACAUUUUUAUCUUGUCAGCUUGGGGAUUCAAUCUUGCAACCUUACGGUUAACUAGUCCAAUGCUCAAACCACCUGCUGCACUCCACGAGGAGCCUGCCUGUUACGCGAAUGCAGUAAGAAGCCAAGAAAACAUACAACAAAAUUACUGAGUUAGCACAUUAGAAACAGAGCCUGUCAUGAAACUUGCAAAUAAAGAUGAGAAUAGUUCAAAAUGAGAAGAUCAUGCCAUGGAAAAGACGACUGAGUGAACAUAAAGUGGAAAGGAGGAGAAAUAACUCACACCAUGCAGCAGGACACCUUCAGCUGUGGGGACUUGAUGGCCAAGGAAGUUGCACAGAACUUCCCCAACAUCCCCUCCAAAAUUGUUAAAGAACCUUAACAAUGAGCAACUGCGAAAAGAAAUGGCUGAGGAUAUACUAAAAAUGUCUGGUAUGUUAUGACAUUUAAUUGAAAAAUUCAUGUAAAAACGUGUGAGAUGAAAAUGGACAAACCAAA
rnacentral:lncRNA from 1 species